rnacentral:rRNA from 1 species
CUCGUGUCGUGAGAUGUUCGGUUAAGUCCGCUAACGAGCGCAACCCUCGUCGUAUGUUAUAUGUGUCAUACGAGACUGCCGGUAAAAGACCGGAGGAAGGUGAGGAUGAUGUCAAGUCAGCAUGACCUUUAUAUCCAGGCUACACACACGCUACAAUGGUCUGUACAAUGGGUAGCCAAGCCGCGAGGCGGAGCCAAUCCUGAAAGCAGGCCUCAGUUCAGAUUGCAGUCUGCAACUCGACUGCAUGAAGCCGGAGUUGCUAGUAACCGCAGGUCAGCAAUACUGCGGUGAAUACGUUCUCGGGUCUU